rnacentral:tRNA from 1 species
GUCCCAGUAGCGCAGUGGAUAGCGAGUUGGACUUCUAAUCCAAUGGUCGUGCGUUCAAAUCCCACCAGGGAUG